ACAAGAUUCAUCAAAAUUACAGGAAUGCUUCUGCCAAGUGCCAUACAACUGAAAAGCAGCCUUGCAAAACAUGAAUUACUGAUUCAGGAUACUGAUACAAUUACUAAUUGUAGAUACUGUUGUCAGCAUCUCUUCCAUUUCGUCUGGCAUCCCUACUGUGAGAGGCUGGAAAGUGAAAAAACUACAUUGCCAAUGAGAGCUUGCAUUCCUCUGACAGCACUAUUGCUAGAAAAUCAGACCUUGUCCCAGCCUGUGGUAGCUACUGCAGACACCAAGAGGUUAUUGGCUGAGGAGGAAGGUAAAUCACAAUGCGGCAUGGAGGAGGAAUUCUCUGUCUCCAUGAGAUCUUGAUUUGGAGGCAUGUUGGAAGAUCCAGG
rnacentral:lncRNA from 1 species